AUAGAUAGUAAGUCCUAAAAUGUCUUCAGAUUCAGAUUUGUGUGUGUGUGUGUGUGUGAGUGUGUGUGUGUUCGACUUUGUCGCUCUUAGUGACCAAAAUAAUACUUGUCUCCAAACUGAAGUAAAUUCAGUUUUAAAAAAAAAAGAAAAAAAAGGAGAUCAUUUCAAGAGUGUUUUAGUGAGCUGGAUAAAGAGAGGGGAAAGUAUGAGUCUAUAGACUGAGUAAUUGCUAGUGAGUGUGUGUGUUUGUGUGUGUGUGUUGACAAGAGAGGCACGAGCGCAGAGUGGGUGUUGCAGAUCUCUUUAGAUACUGACCGUUCCAAAACACUUUGUGUAAACACACAGCCGCCCACGUGAGUGCGUGCACGCACACACGCGCACACAUGCACGCACACAAACACGCACACACACACACACACACACACACACACACACAGUCAGGUACUUUCCCUCGUCCUCUCCCUCUCUGCGUGGUUCUUCAUAGCUUGUAUGGGAUGUUAAAUAUCCAGCUGUCUGCACUCCACCCAGCCCACCUCUCUCUCUCUCUCUGUCUCCCUCUCUCUGUCUCUCUCUCUGUCUCUGUCUCUCUCUGUCUCUCUCUCUGUCUCUCUCUCUGUGUCUUUCUCUCUCUGUCUCUCUCUUUUUCUCCCCCUCUACAUCCUCCUGUCCUCCCCCACAUGCCCCCUUUUCUUCUGACAAAACACAGGAGAGAGUGGGAGUCGAGAACGUGUGGAGGAAUCCGCACGCAUUCCUCCUCCUUCAUUGCCUCAUUUCCUGUCCCAAUCUCACAGUCUCUCGCUCAGUAAUUGAAAACAGAGUUCUGUCUCUUUCCUUUUUUUUUGUUUUUCAUCUAUAUCACUUAGCUAGUCCUACAUCCCUCUUUCUUCACUCGUUUCCUUUGUCUAUCAGUCUCACAGCAUGCAUGUGUUUCUCUCUGUGCUUCACCCAUCCUCUGGAACUCCUCAGGUCUGUCGUCGCGGGACAUAGGCGAGGACGGGAGAACUGAUGACUUGGCUUAAAUUGAAUUGGAUAGAUAGAUCGAUGAAAAGAUAAACAAAUUGAUAUGGAUUUAUGAUGUGAAGCGGAGUUACUAUUACCACCCUGAAGCGAGGGAAUAAAGAAAGCUGAGCCGGAUAAUGAAUACUGUUUUAGGGCCUAGCCAUGAUGGCGCUAGAUGUCUGGGAAGCAGGACGCUACGGUCUGGAUGUGACGAAGCGAAUUGGAAAGCCCGGUUUGAGCAAGACGCAGGAACUUUGAGCUCGAGUUCUUUUUUUUUGUGCUGGUAAAUCCAAAUCCAUAAGAAUUCUCACAAGGCAAUUUGGUAAGGAAGGUAACAAAUUGUUCGGUUUCAUUUUAUUGUUCUUACUUACUGUCGCAAUGAAACAUCUGAGAAUUCGGUUCCACUUCUCUGUCAGCCAAGAACAAGAAUCUGAGGCUAUCAUGGGCACAGACUCACCAAAACUAUCCAGUUUGGGCAAGCCUGCCCCCCCCCAUCUGUCUCAAAGUUUGGCAUGUUCUGUGCUCAGAGAUGCUUUUCUGCUUACCACGGUUGUAAAGAAUGGUUAUUUGUACUGUACCAUAUCCUACCACAAGCUCCCUGUCAGCUCGAACCAGUCCUCCCAUUCUCCUCUGCCCUCUCUCAUCCAGUUUCCACCGGCAGAACUGCUGUUUUUUUUUUUUUUUUUAAGGUUUUUGCACCAAUCUAGAAACUGUGUGUGAAAACAUCAACUAAAACUCUUCCUUACAUUGCCUGACCCUGAGCAGGUUUCAGAUCGCGGACAUGUCUUGGUAAGUCUCCCGGACUCCUUGGCUGUGUAAACACGCCUCCUAUCGGUCAGGUAAUAGACACGCCCCCAUCUUUCUGCUCGGAAACCAGUGCUAAAUGGCAUCGUUGUGAGGCGGGGAAAAAACUGGAGCUUCCGUUCCACGAUGGCGAAACCUGCUGAUUAUGAACGAGAUGACAUUGGACACCGAAUGAUCUACACCAACCAUGUUCCUGGAGAUCUACCAUCCUGAAGAUUUUAGCUCCAACCAUAAUCGUGCCCACCUGACCAUCUAAUCAUUGCCUUAAGAAGUUCUUGAUUGACUAAAAUAGGCAUGUUAGAUGUUGGUUGGAGAUGGAACCUGCAGCAAGGUAGAUCUCAAGGAAUGUUAUACAGUAUUUCCUGUAUAUUUCGUCCAUUGGCACUGUAAACUGGUAAAGUGUUUGAAUUGAUGGUUGCUAGAAGAAACCAGUCAGAUAUUCGGUGUAAUUUAGCUAAUGUUGUCAUGUCUAGCCAAGCAGAAUGAGAUGAUGGAAAGUUAGCUAGUUAGCUAGAUAGUUAUCAUAUUAAUGUGAACGAACUCCAUUGCCCACUGUAGAUUUUAGGAGGCGUGACGUUGCUGUCCAUUGGCAGGAAUUAGAGAUAGGAUCAAGGACGUCUGUCCAGGAUGUCUAAACAGCUGAGCUAACUGACCAGAACCCUGACGCUGUCUCAUUUUCAGUGGGACUUCGAUACUAUAUGUCGCCUUUGUGUAUAUUUAUAGAAUUAAAUAGAACAGCUGUACUGAUCUAGAAACUAACAAACCGGUUAUGUUUAUGCACACCUACACACUUCACACUAUACUGUAAUCCUAGUAUUUCCUGUACCUCUCUCGUCGCCUAAAAAUAAGCUGGUGCUGAAGUUUAAGUGUGGUAAUUUGAAACAGUGGCCUGCUCCUUACCUUUGGGAUCCUAUUAGUAGGAGAGAGAGAGAGAGAGAGAGAGAGAGAAAGAGAGAGAGAGAGGGAGGGAUAAGGCCUCGCUUGGAUAUAUAUAUAUAUAUAUAUAUAGCGCUACAGUGUGUAUGGUUCACCAAGAGAAUUGCUGUCUGUUUAUCCGUUUAGUGUUUUGGGUUUUGUUUCCAGAAGGGAAUCUUCCCACGGCCUCGCUGAGGAGCACGACGAUCUGCGUCAGGAAGAAAAAGGAGGGAACGAGGAAAAGCGAGGGGAACAUCACAGAGGAGGAGGAGAUUCCCAAAUAUUCCCUGAAACAUAUAAGAGAAUGUAAACACAUCCGCUGCCCCUGUGACAUGUCAUUAACACUGCACUCUCUUUCCUGCAGGACAGCAGUGUGUGUCUGUGUGUGAAAAUUGUGCUGACUUUGCUACUGACAACCGGAUUCCUGUUCUUGGCUGACAGGAGUGAAACCCAAUGUGGUCUUUUUGUCACUGUAGCCCGUCCGCCUCAGGGUUUGACGUGGCGAGCAAUCAGCGAUGCUUUUCUGCUCACCACAGUUGUAAAGAGUUCCUAAUUACUCUAGCCUUCCUGUCAUCUUGAACCAGUCUGGCCUUUCUUCUCUGACGUCUCUCGCCGUCCUGUGUCAUUUCUAUCCGCAUGGGCGUGGUCUCUUCCGGUAUGACCCCGCCCCCCUCCCUAUCCAUCCACAAUGUAUAAGGGAUCACCGAAUGGUUUGAUUGGAUGUGAAUCAUAUGCUAUGACCUUUAAAAUCACCAGACUGUCAAACCAAAUUGAACACCUAUGGGAUGGGAGACUUUGGAGUGUUAAGGACUUCGCACGGAGACAUCCCCACGGCUUCGGCAAAAAAAAAAAAAAGGGAGAAAAUAAACAAGUGUGGAAAUAGACAUCGCGUGGAGGCUUUGCUCGCCGUAUUACACAUGCCACGAACAUGCUACACGAGAAAACCUGUGAUUGGAGCAUUCAUAUUUGACACGGAUGGAUUCAGAGGCAGUGAAGAUAACUUGCAGUAAUGAGUGUGUGUGUGUGUGUGUGUGACUGAUCGAACAGGAUGCUGAACUGAAGUCAAUUCUGCAAAACGGGCGACAUCCUACUAACCUCUGACCCCUGACCCGGCUCGGCUCGGCCCCCCAGCGACCCGCAUGUGGCAGUGAUCAGAGCCAAUCAGAGGGUAGGAACUGUGAUGGAGAG
ensembl:lncRNA